AUCAGUUCGAUGUACUAAUGAAAGUAAGAAAUUUUCCGGGCAGUUCUCAUUACCAGGCGCUAUCGUUGAUAUCCCCUCUUUUUGAGUCCAUACGUUUACUAUCAAUACAAUGAUGCAUAACUGGAGUCAGUAUGACCUCUAGAAUUACAGGCCUGGUAAAAUGGUUUAACGAAGACAAAGGUUUUGGCUUCAUCUCUCCUCUUGAUGGCAGCAAAGAUAUCGUUGUCCAUUUUUCUGCGCUUAAUGGCGACAACUUUAAAACUUUAUUUGAAGGGCAGAAAGUUGAAUUCGCUAUUCACAGCGGUGACAAAGGUCCUGCUGCAGCAAACGUAAUACUUUGCGAUAAAUAAAUUAUUGUGGAUCUGCAAUAACGAUGAAGGAUUGUUCC
rfam:Yokenella regensburgei ATCC 43003 genomic scaffold Scfld157, whole genome shotgun sequence.